CCCAAGGGCUGCACGGAACCAGCCCGCCGGCAGCUCUCGGCGUGCCCGGGGAGGAGGGCGAAGGAGUGAGCUCACGCCGCGGCGCUGGAGCGUGACCGGAGCAGCGGCCGCCUGCGGAGCAGCGAGGCGGGGGAGUGCACAGAAACAGGCAGUGUGACAUUCCCACCAUACCCUUGUUCUUCAUUAAAGUCUUGGAUACGCAGCCUGUGCCUGCUGAGGUAGACUGAGAGAGUACGGGAAGGAGGAACAGGGCAGGAUCACCAGUCGAUACAGCAGAACAGGACAGAGUUUUCAGGGCUGGAUGUAAGCUUCAGGAGGACCAACGGCAGAGGGUUGUGCACCCAGAUCCUGAUGGUAUGGCUGGAAAUAUGCACUACCAUGAUGUCCAUGGGAGAUGACAACUGCUUAAUUAUGCCCACACCUGGAUCUGUAUGCUGAGGAUCAUUAGGAAGGUUAAAAACCAGCAAGACUGAUGUCAGCCUACAAACAGCUUUGAGAACAUGAACAAUAGCUGUGAGAACCAUUGACUGGCCUGUUUAUAUCUAUUGUGUGUUUGCUUGGAUGCAUAAGGAUUAUUUGAAGGAAAUUGUUUUGUUCUGCUGCUUACCGUCUUAGUAAACGCAUCUAGAUAACUUGUUGUUUAUUGUUGUUGGAUGCUGUAGCAGAUAGCGAGUCAAGCUGAAGUAGGACAGCUGAUCACUGGGAGCUUAUACCAGUUUGUUUAAAAUUACCUCCACCACUCUCCCGAACAAAGGAGAGAAAGAAAUUAUAUUCCCUAUUACAAAGGGCCCUAGCAUAUAGUCCUAAAAUAGGUUCUCCAGUAGUGAAGUCAGCUAAAGACGUCUCCUGUUUGGCUGCUUGUCCCUAUCCAUUCGGUUGUGCUGCCAAAGAUGCUUGUAGGCCAAGCUGUAAACCAGACCACUGAAACCCUCUUGGUUAAAUCCUCCAACAGAUAAAAAGAGACAAAUGAAAAAUAUUGGGAAACUACAGCCUUUGUUUCCUCCAAAUGGUCUGGACUGCAAAACACCCAGUUGUCACUGGGCCAUCUGAAAACCUUCAGCUUCCUUCUGGUAACUAAAAGAUGAAGUUGCUGCAAUCUUAAAACUUGUAUUAGCAAAACUGAAUGUAAUUCAACUAUACCAAUAAGCCACAGAUGAGAGGAAUAGGCAAAUUAAGGAUCCAGAGAGACAAUACACAGU